rnacentral:rRNA from 1 species
UACGUAGGGUGCAAGCGUUGUCCGGAAUUAUUGGGCGUAAAGAGCUCGUAGGCGGUCUGUCGCGUCUGCUGUGAAAACUCGGGGCUUAACCCCGGGCCUGCAGUGGGUACGGGCAGACUAGAGUGCGGUAGGGGAGAGUGGAAUUCCUGGUGUAGCGGUGAAAUGCGCAGAUAUCAGGAGGAACACCGGUGGCGAAGGCGGGUCUCUGGGCAGUAACUGACGCUGAGGAGCGAAAGCGUGGGGAGCGAACAGG